rnacentral:rRNA from 1 species
AGAGUUUGAUCAUGGCUCAGGAUGAACGCUGGCGGCGUGCCUAACACAUGCAAGUCGAGCGAGAACCGUCUGAAUGACACUUCGGUAGAAUGAAGGCGGGGAAAGCGGCGGACGGGUGAGUAACGCGUAGGUAACCUGCCCCUUACUCAGGGAUAGCCUAGGGAAACCUGGAUUAAUACCUGAUGAAGCAGAGAUACAGAAGUAUUUUUGCCAAAGAUUGAUCGGUGAGGGAUGGACCUGCGUCUGAUUAGUGAGUUGGUGAGGUAAUGGCUCACCAAAGCGACGAUCAGUAGCCGACCUGAGAGGGUGAUCGGCCACAUUGGAACUGAGACACGGUCCAAACUCCUGCGGGAGGCAGCAGUGGGGGAUAUUGCACAAUGGGCGGAAGCCUGAUGCAGCAACGCCGCGUGAGCGAAGAAGGUCUUCGGAUCGUAAAGCUCUGUCCUGGGGGAAGAAACAAAUGACGGUACCCCGGGAGGAAGCCCCGGCUAACUACGUGCCAGCAGCCGCGGUAAUACGUAGGGGGCGAGCGUUAUCCGGAAUUAUUGGGCGUAAAGAGUACGUANGUGGUUUGGAAAGCGUGUGGUGAAAUUGCGGGGCUUAACCCCGUCCAGCCAUGCGAACUUUCAGACUUGAGUGCAGGAGAGGGAAGUGGAAUUCCUAGUGUAGCGGUGAAAUGCGUAGAUAUUAGGAGGAACAUCAGUGGCGAAGGCGACUUCCUGGACUGUAACUGACACUGAGGUACGAAAGCGUGGGUAGCAAACAGGAUUAGAUACCCUGG